CACCGCGGUUAUACGAGAGACCCAAGCUGACAGAACCUCGGCGUAAAGUGUGGUUAGGUUAAAUAUAUAAUUAAGGUCGAACACCCCCAAAGCUGUUAUACGCACUUGGCGGUAAGAAGCCCUUCAACGAAAGUGGCCUUAUUAGACUGAACCCACGAAAGCUAAGGCA
rnacentral:rRNA from 1 species